GUCUUCUUAAACGUUAAGUUUUGUGGCUCCUUGUGCAAUGUUUGUCUUCCUCUAACCCUUCACACAUUGUAUCUGAGCAUCUCCACAAUCCAAGUGUCACAAUCUCUCCUCCGCCUAAUCGAAAACACAUGGUUUCUGGGCACUUAGGCCUCUCAAAGAAAAGCUUGGGCAGAUAUCCUUGAAGAAGGAGUGACGAUGAUUUGGAAGAAGAACAUAAGUUUGAUGUUUCUUUGAUAAAAAUUCAAAAGAGAUUAAGACAUAACUUUAGUACAUCACAAAAACAGAACCUCUUAAAAUUCAAGUUAGAAUUUUCAAAGUGUCUCGAAUCAGAAAGGACAAAGACAAGAAAAUACGAU
rnacentral:lncRNA from 1 species